rfam:Triticum aestivum genome assembly, contig: Triticum_aestivum_CS42_TGACv1_scaffold_641674_T_5DL-0.060547_1AL-0.044503
CAAGUACUCCCUCCGUCUCAAAAUUCUUGUCUUAGAUUUGUCUAGAUAUGGAUGCUAUUCACAUUUUAGUAUUAGAUAUAUCUAUAUCUAGGUAGAUCUAAGACAAAAAAUUUGGGACGAAGGGAGUAGUUG